AAAGCAAAGGAAACUCAAAGUUUGCCAAGACCAUUUGGCGAGGUUUAUCGACUGUUUACUAAAGGCUGAAUGCACACCAUGCCGAUUUGCAGAACAACUGGCCUUAAUGACUUUUCUCAAGACUGCAUGCAUACCUCAUAAAUCUGUUUAUCGCCCAGGACAGUGCCUUGAAAGAAGUUGUAGCCCUGGAACACCUGCUUCAUUAACAAGAAAUCUGUUCAGGAGGGACUGAGAUAACCUUAUCUCUGAAACAAACCAGACUCUGGAAAUCGCUUUUUUUGCCUCUUCAGAACCCAUCACCCAGGAAAUUGCCUCACCAAUGCCCCUUUUCCUUUGUUCUGCUUCUCGUGCCUAUAAAACCUUCUGGCCGUCUUUAGGAGAGGGAAGGUAGGUUUUCAGACAGAAGUCCACUGCUUUCCCUGAAUGCUGGCAUUUUGAAUAAACCUGCUUUUCUUUCCACCA